UACGUAGGGUGCAAGCGUUGUCCGGAAUUAUUGGGCGUAAAGAGCUCGUAGGCGGUUUGUUGCGUCGGCUGUGAAAUCCCGAGGCUCAACCUCGGGUCUGCAGUCGAUACGAGCAAACUAGAGUGUUGCAGGGGAGACUGGAAUUCCUGGUGUAGCGGUGAAAUGCGCAGAUAUCAGGAGGAACACCGAUGGCGAAGGCAGGUCUCUGGGCCGGUACUGACGCUGAGACGCGAAAGCGUGGGGAGCGAACAGG
rnacentral:rRNA from 1 species